rnacentral:rRNA from 1 species
GAUGAACGCUAGCGACGUGCCUUAGGCAUGCAAGUGGGACGAGAUGUAGCAAUACAUUUAGUCGCGAACGGCUGAGUAUAAAAUAGGAAUCUACCUCUUGGUGGGGAAUACCUCGUCGAAAGACGAGCUAAUACCGCAUAAGAAUCUAAUUGAAAGCGAUUAACUUCGCGCCGAGAGAGGAGCCUAUUUCCCAUCAGCUAGUUGGUGAGGUAAUGGCUCACCAAGGCGACGAUCUCUAGAUGGUCUGAGAGGAUGAUCAUCCACACUGGAACUGAGACACGGUCCAGACUCCUACGGGAGGCAGCAGUGGGGAAUUUUGGACAAUGGACGCAAGUCUGAUCCAGCCAUGCCGCGUGCGGGAAGAAGGCCUUCGGGUUGUAAACCGCUUUUGUCAGGGAAGAAAAGGCCCCUUCUAAUAUAGGGGGCUCAUGACGGUACCUGAAGAAUAAGCACCGGCUAACUACGUGCCAGCCGCCGCGGUAA